GUUGAGGGGGAUGAGUUUCCUUUCGAGUUUGUCCCUCGCUUCAGAAUAUUCUUGGCAGUAGAGGAGUAUAUGUGUCGCGUCUUCUUGUUCUGGGCACCCGUGAGGACAUUCAUCUGGUAUUUCGGGGUCCAAUCUGCUCAUGAAGUGGUUUAGUUUAUUGUGCCCGCUGCGUAACCGAAGCAUUGCUGUUUGGAUAUUUCGUUUCUUGUUAAUGUGCCAAGGUCCUUUUUUGUUUUUUUCGGAUUUCGGUGGCCAGUUGGUCAGCAAUUUCGUUUCCUGGUAUCCCAGCAUGUGAAGGUACUGCUGGACUUGCUUCCCAUUUGAAAUUUGAAAUUGCUUGAACAGCUGAUUUGGAAUCAGUGUAGAUGGUGACUGAGGGAAUUUUGUGCUCGUUCAGGUAGUAGAGGGCUUGCCUAA